GAUGAACGCUGGCGGCGUGCCUAAUACAUGCAAGUCGAGCGAACAGACGAGGAGCUUGCUCCUCUGACGUUAGCGGCGGACGGGUGAGUAACACGUGGAUAACCUACCUAUAAGACUGGGAUAACUUCGGGAAACCGGAGCUAAUACCGGAUAAUAUAUUGAACCGCAUGGUUCAAUAGUGAAAGACGGUUUUGCUGUCACUUAUAGAUGGAUCCGCGCCGCAUUAGCUAGUUGGUAAGGUAACGGCUUACCAAGGCAACGAUGCGUAGCCGACCUGAGAGGGUGAUCGGCCACACUGGAACUGAGACACGGUCCAGACUCCUACGGGGGGCAGCAGUAGGGAAUCUUCCGCAAUGGGCGAAAGCCUGACGGAGCAACGCCGCGUGAGUGAUGAAGGUCUUCGGAUCGUAAAACUCUGUUAUUAGGGAAAAACAAAUGUGUAAGUAACUAUGCACGUCGUGACGGUACCUAAUCAGAAAGCCACGGCUAACUACG
rnacentral:rRNA from 1 species